rnacentral:rRNA from 1 species
ACUCCUACGGGAGGCAGCAGUGGGAAUCUUGGACAAUGGGGCAACCCGUGCAUCCAGCCAUGCCGCGUGAGUGAUGAAGGCCCUAGGGUCGUAAAGCUCUUUCGCCUGUGAAGAUAAUGACUGUAGCAGGUAAAGAACCCGCGUAAUCCGUGCCAGCAGCCGCGGUAAUACGGAGGGGGUUAGCGUUGUUCGGAAUUACUGGGCGUAAAGCGCGCGUA